rnacentral:rRNA from 1 species
CGCGUAGGCGGGGAGGUAAGUCGGGUGUGAAAUCCCUCGGCCCAACCGAGGAACUGCGCCCGAGACUGCUUCUCUUGAGUCCCGGAGAGGAAGAUGGAAUUCCCGGUGUAGCGGUGAAACGUGUAGAGAUCGGGAGGAACACCGGUGGCGAAGGCGGUCUUCUGGACGGUGACUGACGCUGAGGCGCGAAAGCGUGGGGAGCAAACG